rnacentral:rRNA from 1 species
AUUGAACGCUGGCGGCAUGCCUCACACACGCAAGUCGAACGGCAGCACGGGAGCAAUCCUGGUGGCGAGUGGCGAACGGGUGAGUAAAGUAUCGGAACGUGCCCAGUCGUGGGGGAUAACGUAGCGAAAGUUACGCUAAUACCGCAUACGAUCUAUGGAUGAAAGCGGGGGAUCGCAAGACCUCGCGCGAUUGGAGCGGCCGAUAUCAGAUUAGGUAGUUGGUGGGGUAAAGGCUCACCAAGCCGACGAUCUGUAGCUGGUCUGAGAGGACGACCAGCCACACUGGGACUGAGACACGGCCCAGACUCCUACGGGAGGCAGCAGUGGGGAAUUUUGGACAAUGGGCGCAAGCCUGAUCCAGCCAUGCCGCGUGCAGGAUGAAGGCCUUCGGGUUGUAAACUGCUUUUGUACGGAACGAAAAGGUUUGACUUAAUACGUUGGACUCAUGACGGUACCGUAAGAAUAAGCACCGGCUAACUACGUGCCAGCAGCCGCCGUAA